rnacentral:rRNA from 1 species
UACGAAGGGGGCUAGCGUUGCUCGGAAUCACUGGGCGUAAAGCGCACGUAGGCGGCUUAUUAAGUCAGGGGUGAAAUCCUGGAGCUCAACUCCAGAACUGCCUUUGAUACUGAUGAGCUUGAGUCCGGGAGAGGUGGGAACUGCGAGUGUAGAGGUGAAAUUCGUAGAUAUUCGCAAGAACACCAGUGGCGAAGGCGGCUCACUGGCCCGGUACUGACGCUGAGGUGCGAAAGCGUGGGGAGCAAACAGG